GCCUGACUCUGACAAGCACAGGGCGAUGACUAUGUGUGUAUCAGUCAUCUCUUUCUGCAGCUUUCUGAAUCUUGCUUCCAGAGCGUCUUUCACAUGAAUCCCAGCCCUGCCCACAGAUCGACAGAGUGUAGGUGCAGAAGAAAUAAGAAAUGGAAUUUCGCCCUUCCUUUGCCAUCAUGCCUGGAACAUUGAACGCUAAUUAAGAGUGAUGACAGCGAAUGUCACUGCCCAUGAAAACUGGAGACAAGCCAUUAUUAUCUGAUGCCCAAGCUGCAUAGAUGAGGAACAUUGACUAAUAGUUCAGAACCUCUGCUAGACAUUAGGCAGCAUAGCACAGACAAGACUGCCCCCCCCCAAUGACCCUGGCUAAGGAAAAGGUCAGCAGCAGGAGAAGCUGCAAGGGAGAGGAGCAAGCAGUGCCAGGAGGAUACAGAGGAUAGGUGUGAUUGAUGAAGAACACAGAGAUUAGAAGGAGAAUGAGGACUCCUUUUAGCACCAUCCAUCAGCUGCAAUGUCAAGGAGACAUGAAAUUGUUAUUCAUCAAUGUUCAUAGGAGAGAGAAAUACAGUGCUCUCCUUUUCUCCAGUGCUUAAAAACUUUCACCCUGUGUGUCUGAUAACUCAUCUUGUCUCUCUUUACCUCAAGAGACCAGGUUCUGAAGCCAGAGAGGUUGUUUGUUAUCAGCAGCAUUCCCUGUAAAGUUGUGUUCCUCUGGAAGCCACUUCAGUGCUGAAUCUGCCACCAUAUGUACUUGUGCAGCCACACCAAAGAGAUUCCAGUAUAGCCCAACUAAUUAGCAGAGUGCCCACUGCUAGGUUUUGUGUUCCUACUGGUAGUACACAUUUGCACAUGCCUUGGUGCACAUAAAAUUAUUCCACACAUUGAUGGAAAAGAUAAAAGAAAACAUUAGUCACCAGCUAUCUGGUGUGUGCUAAACACGGGAAAUUGCGAAUGCAAGUGCAUUAGACACAUCUCUGUCUGUGAAGUUUAUUGCCACAGGAAACUGACAAGCCAAAUAACCACACAGAAUUUAAAAAGAGACUGAAGAGACACUCGAAUGAUUUUGGCACAGGCAGCUCAAUACAGGAGGUUAUUGGAGCACUGGGUGAAUAGUAAGCUGUGUAGCCUUUUAAAAAAUGCCUUGAAAAUAUGUUUUUGGCACUUUCCCUCUCUCUUGCCCUUUUAACUAUCAGAUGGCAAUGGCUAAUAUGCAUAUUUCAAACCUUAGCUUCCUCUUGGAGCUAAAGAUAAUGAGAAUCAACAGGUGGGACACAUCUUGUCUAGAGAACAUUAAUUAAGAUAAAGCUAAAAUAUGCAAUUUCCAGGAAAGGAAAAAUCUGAUGCUUGAUAAGGAAUUUUUAAGCUAUUGUUCGUUUCUCAAGCCAAAGACUUCCACCCCUGCUACAUGACAACCAAAAGUUACUAUCUCCUCUAAUGCCAAGUCCCCUACUAUAUGCCAUAUGGUAAUUAAUAUCCAGAAUAGAUUAAACAAUCAAAGAAUAGGUUUAAACUUGUUAGGAAUAACUUGCUGGUGUCUCAAGAAGCUGAAAAGUUUCAGGUCAAACUUCUGGAUAAUUCAAGAACUCUAAUAUAAUAAAAAUCUUUCACCCCAAUUUAGAAGC